CCUGGCAACCUUCCAGCUCUAUUCACUAUAACUGAAGGAGCCAUGAACCUGGCAGUAUGAGAAGAGAUAGAAAUGACAGCACACAUUCAGCAAUAGAAAUGAGUGAAGAGUAGUUGGCUUUCUUUUAUGCUCAACAUGUGUAGAGUUGAAGUCAGAGACUGAGGGGAUUAUGCUUUAGGACAAGACCAGGACAGGGAUGGCAUUGCAAUUGAAGGUGGCAGCAGAGUGGUCCAUGCAGUAGAGAUGAUAAUGAAGUGUUUCUUUGUGGAAGCUGUUUUCCCUGCUUCCCCCUAUACUACCAGGUGGGGAAACUGGGACAAAGAACUGCUUCCCAAGAUACUCAGUCUCCUUCAUUUACCACAAACCUUCCGAUUCUGCUGUAAAUGUCCUAUGGGGAACAGUCUCCUUUGCUGCAAGACCCUAAUUCAUCCUGAAAGUGAGUAGACUCUGCAUGCACACUGAAUGAGCUGGGGAUCAUACAGAAAAAGGUUGCUCAAGUGUGUGCAGUACUACAUCAGAUAUGCCUCAAGGACUAAGAAUAUUGACAAGAACAGAGAACAUUGUUGCAAGAGCAUGGCCAACUUGAUGUUGUCUCUGGAUAGUGAAAGCGGAUCAUUCUCCAAUUAAAAAUGUCCAUAUGAAGAUGACCUGAAAUAAACACCAAGCUGACAGCAUUUCAUUUUUCAAAAAUAAAAAGGUUCAAAUCGACUGGCCAGAUCAGACCCACAGACCAACCCUGCAUACAGGAUUCAGCAUGUUUCUUGGAGUGGGUGGAAUGGAUGCCACAUACAGCAUGGUCCUGCUCCAGGACUCACAUACUGCCUGUGGGUCGACUCCAAAACCCAUGGGCAGCACCAGGGGCCAGAUGAGAGGGCUCAUGGGCCAGAUCCUUGACACCCUGCACUAAAGUAACCUAAGAAAUUAAGGUCAGAUUUUAAUGUUGGCACACGUAUUUCCUGAUGCCCGACUUUAGCCAGCAAGCAACUUGAUGUGUGUGUACAAGGGUAGCAUUUAGCCAUGGGAAUAUUGUUCAUAAACAUUGUUCAUGCCCUAAGUGAUAUCUGACUGAGUGGCAAACAACAGGUAAAUGAGUGGGGCACGAGCCCUAGCACUGCCUAAAGUGGAGAUGCUGGAGUGGAGCUAGGGGCAUGCCUCACACUCCCAUCCCUCAUCCCCUGCACCUUCCCUGCAGUGGCUUCAGGGGCAGUGGGGAGCAGAGCAACAGUGGUAGGACAUGGUGCAGGGGCAAUGGCCAUGAGUUCACUGCUGAAAAUCAGUGGGGCAUUUUCCCCCUCCUGGAGCAAGGAAUGGCUGACCACAGUUUCUGCCCAUGGUACGGUACUGGUGGCAAAGGUUGAGAUUCAGACUCAGGUCUAUGUUACAUACCUGAAGAAAUUACCAGAAUUUUACAUGUGCAAAUAAUUAUAGCUCAAAUCGAAGCCUUGGAAAAUCAGAUUGUUUGUAUAAUGCCUGUAAACUUAGAUGUAGAUGUAGAAGAGUUUAGAUGUUUUGCUACAGGUGUCUACUUGGCAUGGUCUCAAAACUAUUGAAAUCAGUGGCACUUCCAGUGAGCUUUGGGUCAGACCCUUUAUGUGCACAUUUGUCUGUGUGUAAAUCUUUUCAAUACGUAGUAGAUGACUUUGAACACAAUACAAUUUAUUUUUGUGCUACAGCUGUCUGCUCUAUAAAUUAACAGCCAAAACUUGUGCACAUUACAAAGCCUGUGCCUGUUUUACAGUUAAACUUUAG